AACGCACAUUGCGCCCGCUGGAAUUCCGGCGGGCAUGCCUGUUCGAGCGUCAUUUCAACCCCUCAAGCUUCAGCGCUUGGUGUUGGGGCAUAGCCUGUGAAAAGGCUAGCCCUCAAAUUCAGUGGCGUGCUCGCUGAGACCCCCGGGUGUAGUAAUCUCCUUCUCACCCGGGACGGCUCAGCGGUGUACCUGCCGUAAAACCCGCUAUCACGCACCUUCUGAAAGUUGACCUCGGAUCAGGUAGGAAUACCCGCUGAACUUAA
rnacentral:misc_RNA from 1 species